rnacentral:rRNA from 1 species
UACGAAGGGGGCUAGCGUUGUUCGGAAUUACUGGGCGUAAAGCGUAUGUAGGCGGAUCUUUAAGUCGGGGGUGAAAUCCCGAGGCUCAACCUCGGAACUGCCUUCGAUACUGAAGAUCUUGAGUCCGGAAGAGGUGAGUGGAACUCCUAGUGUAGAGGUGGAAUUCGUAGAUAUUAGGAAGAACACCAGUGGCGAAGGCGGCUCACUGGUCCGGUACUGACGCUGAGGUGCGAAAGCGUGGGGAGCAAACAGG